rnacentral:rRNA from 1 species
GACGAACGCUGGCGGCGUGCCUAAUACAUGCAAGUCGAACGAAUUGGCGCACGGGUGAGUAAUAUAUAGUUAAUCUGCCCUACACAAACGAACAACAGUUGGAAACGACUGCUAAUACCUCAUAGUGUAGGAUGAGACUAUAUCGUAUCAGCUAGUUGGGAAGGUAAUGGCUUACCAAGGCUAUGACGCGCAACUGGUGUGAGAGGAGGAGCAGUGACAUUGGAACUGAGACACGGUCGAAACUCCUACGGGAUGGGGCAGUAAGGAAUAGUGCGCAAUGGGGUAAACCCUGACGCAGCAACGCCGCGUGGAGGAUGAUACUUUGCGGAGCGGAAACUCCUUUUAGCAAGAAAGCGGUACCUGAUGAAUAAGCACCGGCUAACUCCGUGCCAGCAGCCGCGGUAAUAC